ACCUCAUUAUACUUAGGUCUCUGGUAUUUCAUGACAUAAUAUAUAGAUGAAAGUCUUAUAUAUAUAUUUUGCAAACUUAGCAGUAGUUUUGUAAGGUUUUUUUUUUUUUUAAUUUUACCCAUACACACUGGUUUCUUCAAGUUUUUUAUCUUCAUUUGUCACAUCCUUUGAUAAUUCAGAUUUCAAAGACUUAAAUUUAAGGGUGUAAAAUAGCAUAUUUAAAGAGAUCUACUUUUGAACCAACAUAAAAUUAUAACAUACAAUGUUGUUAUCUUUGACCUGUCCUCAUAAUUAGACAAAAUUCUCUUUAGGGAAUCAAACUGAACUUACCUCUAUUACUUGACCUUGUAUUUGAUAGGUCUAUCUUCUCAAUCUACAACUAAUUAUUCAUUAUGCAUUUUCAGUAGACUAAAAUGCCCAUAUCUGAAUGCUUAUCUACAGUGUAUUUUGAAAUAUAGUUUUAACAAUUAAAUAAAAUAAACUGAAGUUCAACAUUUUAUAUAUACAUAUAUAUGUCUCUGUGUAUGUACAAAUAUAUAUAACCUAAAUACAUUUAAAUAUAGAUUAUUGAUUUGAGAAACAAUGUGUAUGACAGCUGCAUUUUUCAAAUGUUGCAUUGAAAAGGAACAGAAACCAGGCUGUAGUUUUUAAAUAAAUGGGCUACUAUCUUCUUGAGCAAGUAUGAUGAUGAUGCUGAAUAAUAUUCAUUGUUAUAUCUAACUGUAGAUAAUAAGAUAAAUGUCUCUAUUUUAUUUAAAGAUACAAUAAAGAGCACCAUGUAGGCUUCAAAUAAUCCCGAGGUCUGGGCAUUUUAAGCAGUUGCUUCCUUUGGAAAUAGAACACCUGUCAAGUGAUUUGAAGUCAAAUAGUCUUCACGACUUUAAAUAGGGUUAAAAGUAGCCAAGGGAGCAUUAAAGCCUAAUGGGUGAAUAAAUGAGAUGGAGAAAAAAGAUCUGGAAACUCUAGAUGAAAAUCUUUGGAGUUCAUAUUAAAGUAAUGAUUCUAGAUGAAAGUAAUAAUUCAUUUGCUCAGCGUGUAGCACAAAAAUCAUUCUAAUCCAGUAAAGAAAGACAUUUUUUAACUUGAAAUGGUAGCUUUUAUUUGAGCUUAGAAUUUACUGUAAUGAAAAUACAAUAAUAUGUUUACCUUGUAAGGAGAGUUAUCUCAAGACAGAUUAGCUGAGAAAUUAGAUAACUUUUUUUUUAAAGGAAAAAAGUUGCAGGUUCUAGAAAAGGUUCCUAGGAAUAAGCUCUGUUCACUUACAGCCAAGGAAAAGGAGAUUUGUGCACAAUCUCACUAAGUAUACUUUUGAUUGUUUCUAUGCAUUGGAUACAAAUCAUGAAUCCCUGUGUUCCAUCAUUCCAAGCAUCUAUAUGUCUAUGGACAAAGCAGUUUUGUUUGUCAAUAGUUUCUAAAAUACUCUCCUGACAAAGAGAUAAUUUUCCUUUGGAAAUACCAACUUAUAAAGUUACUUUUAAGUGGGUAAAUGCAAACAUAGUUAAAAUUAAAAACACAUUGUUGAUGCACAUAUGCAUACUUACAUAAAUGCAUUUGUACAUUUAGUUUAAUGUAUAGAAUGUAUGCGCUAGAGAUUAUUUUGUGUACAUGGACAUAUUUGUCACAAUUUAUGCAUGAGUAUAUUUUAUAGCAUAUUAAAGUAAAACCUUUGCUAAUGUAUCAUAAAUAAAUUUAUUUUAUCAUUAUGAUUUUAUGAUUUUAUGCUUUGCAAAUUUUUACCCCUCUCAGUGUCCCCAAAAUCUCUUCACCUAUCCAGAUCCAUUCUCUUUCUGUAUCUCCUUAGAAAAAAUACAGGUUUCUAAAGGAUAAUAUUAAAAUAAAAUAUAAUGAUGUAAAAUACAAACUAGCACACUGUAAUUUGGU
rnacentral:lncRNA from 1 species